CCCUUAGAUGUCCUGGGCCGCACGCGCGCUACACUGAGUGUCUGAGAUACGAGUCUGCCUGGUCCGGCAAGGUCUAGGUAAUCGCUAAAAGACACAUCAUGCUUGGGAUAGAUUAUUGCAAAUAUUAAUCUUGAACGAGGAAUUCCUAGUAAGCGCAAGUCAACAGCUUGCGUUGAUUACGUCCCUGCCCUUUGUACACACCGCCCGUCGCUACUACUGAUUGGAUGUUUAAGCGAGGUUCUCGAACUGCUAGCGACUUAGCUUCGGUGAGGUCGCAGUGUGGGAAGUGAACCUAGCUUUGGUGUCUAGAGGAAGUAAAUGUCGUAACA
rnacentral:rRNA from 1 species